rnacentral:rRNA from 1 species
CCUACGGGGGACAGCAGUGAGGAAUAUUGGUCAAUGGGCGGAAGCCUGAACCAGCCAAGUAGCGUGAGGGAUGAAGGUCCUACGGGUCGUAAACUGCUUUUGCACGGGGAUAACACCCUGCACGUGUGGAGGCUUGCAGGUACCGUGCGCAUAAGGGCAGGCUAAUUCCGUGACAGCAGCCGCGGUAAUACGGAAGGUCCGAGGGUUAUCCGGAUUGAUUGGGCUUAACGGGGGCGUAGGCGGGCGUUCAAGUCAGCGGUAAAAUCGCGCGGCUCAACCCGGCCCGGCUGUUGAAACUGGCGGGCUUGAGUGCACGACAGGCAGGCGGAAUUCGUGGUGUAGCGGUGAAAUGCGUAGAUAUCACGAGGAACCCCGGUGGCGAAGGCAGCCUGCCGGGGUGCGACUGACGCUGAGGCUCGAAAGUGUGGGGAGCAAACAGGAUUAGAUACCCUUGUAGUC